UACGUAGGGUGCAAGCGUUAAUCGGAAUUACUGGGCGUAAAGCGUGCGCAGGCGGCUUCGCAAGUCAGACGUGAAAUCCCCAGGCUUAACCUGGGAACUGCGUCGGAUACUGGCGGGCUUGAAUCCGGGAGAGGGAUGCGGAAUUCCAGGUGUAGCGGUGAAAUGCGUAGAUAUCUGGAGGAACACCGGUGGCGAAGGCGGCAUCCUGGACCGGCAUUGACGCUGAAUAGCGAAAGCCAGGGGAGCAAACGGG
rnacentral:rRNA from 1 species